CUACGGGAGGCAGCAGUGGGGAAUUUUCCGCAAUGGGCGAAAGCCUGACGGAGCAAUACCGCGUGAGGGAAGACUGCCUAUGGGUUGUAAACCUCUUUUUUCAGGGAGGAAUCAAUGACGUGUACCUGAAGAAUAAGCAUCGGCUAACUCCGUGCCAGCAGCCGCGGUAAGACGGAGGAUGCAAGUGUUAUCCGGAAUCACUGGGCGUAAAGCGUCUGUAGGUGGUUUAAUAAGUCAACUGUUAAAUCUUGAGGCUCAACUUCAAAAUCGCAGUCGAAACUAUUAGACUAGAGUAUAGUAGAGGUAAAGGGAAUUUCCAGUGGAGAGGUGAAAUGCGUAGAUAUUGGAAAGAACACCGAUGGCGAAAGCACUUUACUGGGCUAUUACUAACACUCAGAGACGAAAGCUAGGGUAGCAAAUGGGAUUAGAUACCCCAGUAGUCCUAGCCGUAAACAAUGGAUACUAGAUGUUGAACAGAUCGACCUGUGCAGUAUCAAAGCUAACGCGUUAAGUAUCCCGCCUGGGAAGUAUGCUCGCAAGAGUGAAACUCAAAG
rnacentral:rRNA from 1 species